UACGAAGGGGGCUAGCGUUGUUCGGAAUUACUGGGCGUAAAGGGCGCGUAGGCGGCGCAUUAAGUCAGGUGUGAAAGCCCCGGGCUCAACCCAGGAAUUGCACUUGAUACUGAUGUGCUUGAAUCCGGAAGAGGAUGACGGAAUUCCCAGUGUAGAGGUGAAAUUCAUUGAUAUUGGGAAGAACACCAGUGGCGAAGGCGGUCAUCUGGUCCGGUAUUGACGCUGAGGCGCGAAAGCGUGGGGAGCAAACAGG
rnacentral:rRNA from 1 species